UUCUCCUGAGUGUUGAUAGGAAAACCCUGAUGAUAUCGGAGUGGUGAGAUCAGAUGAUGGGCCCUUCUACUGCUACGUGUACAACAAUGUCAGUAACAGCACCAGCAAACCCUUUAGUCUUGAUAUGCAAUGCCCUUACCAAGAACAGAUUACUCUUGGACAACAGAACAACUAGCAGCAGCGAUCAUCGGUUCAUUUCUAGGUGGCGUUUGCAUUUCAGUGAUCACAACUCUCUUUGUAAAAUUCAUCAGGAGGAGUGCAAUUUGUGGAGAAUUUCAGAGAGCAAACCAGACAAAA